rnacentral:rRNA from 1 species
UGGGGAAUAUUGCACAAUGGGCGCAAGCCUGAUGCAGCCAUGCCGCGUGUGUGAAGAAGGCCUUCGGGUUGUAAAGCACUUUCAGCGAGGAGGAAGGUGGUGAGCUUAAUACGCUCAUCAAUUGACGUUACUCGCAGAAGAAGCACCGGCUAACUCCGUGCCAGCAGCCGCGGUAAUACGGAGGGUGCAAGCGUUAAUCGGAAUUACUGGGCGUAAAGCGCACGCAGGCGGUUUGUUAAGUCAGAUGUGAAAUCCCCGGGCUCAACCUGGGAACUGCAUUUGAAACUGGCAAGCUAGAGUCUCGUAGAGGGGGGUAGAAUUCCAGGUGUAGCGGUGAAAUGCGUAGAGAUCUGGAGGAAUACCGGUGGCGAAGGCGGCCCCCUGGACGAAGACUGACGCUCAGGUGCGAAAGCGUGGGGCAGCAAACAGGAUUAGAUACCCUGGUAGUCCACGCUGUAAACGAUGUCGAUUUUGGAGGUUGUGCCCUUGAGGCGUGGCUUCCGGAGCUAACGCGUUAAAUCGACCGCCUGGGGAGUACGGCCGCAAGGUUAAAACUUAAAGUAAAUUGACGGGGUC